UAGUCUUUGUUUUACAGUGAUGCAACUUUGUCUAGUGUAGACAUUUGGGGGAAUGAACCAUUGGAUGGUUAACUAUUUGUCUCUUUAUCUCUGAUUUUUUAAAAAUACGUUGUGUCGCUUUUGGUAAGUGGCUCUGAACGUUGACUACAGCUGACUGAGACAAUGUUGGAGGGCAAGAAUGAAGGAGAAAGCUUGAAGAAACAGGAAAUUUGAGAAUCGUAACACAAUGCACAUUUUUCUGCAAGAAUUCACCGCUCCAUGACUGAAAUAUCUUCUGUGUUGGCACUUCAUUGCCAGUGAGACAUGAGUAAACACAAGUGCUAGAAGCUGUUGGCCCUUUGGAGAAGUACUGCCUAUGGAUUGCAAGUGGGUAGUUGGAAUUCUCCUCAGUUCAAGCGAAGAUGAUUAGGUUACUUCUUCUUGUUCAAAACACAAAGAGGGUUAUUUUCCUUCCCUUUGCAUUUGUUGUGUCAUCCUAGAACAGGAAGAAUGAGGGAGGAGUGGAAUGAAUAUACAUAUGUAUAUAAAAACACUCUUGUAAAUAAAAUUGAACAUAUGAAUAGCUAAAUAUGAUCCAUCACAACUCAUGUUUAGUACAUUUAGCCUCAUUACAAAAUGUGCAUAUAAAAUAUAUAUGCCAGAGGGGAAAGGUUUAAUGGGAUAUACCAAAAGUUGCUAAUAAAUCUCAUGUAUGAAGUAACUUUCAAUAUGUGAUAUACAUGUUCCUAUAUUUUUUCUAAUUUAUUGGGCAAUGAACAUACUCUGCUUUAUGUACAGAAUAAUAAAUUUAAUUCCAUUUGAAAUUCACACACGUAAAAUAUCACAUGACAAUGAAAUAAGGAUAUAUUAGUAGGUGAGCCUUACUUUGAAAAAACAAUGCUCUUCCUGAAAACAGUAAGAAUAGUGUCCUAUUUUUGUUAGUCUAACAUUCUGGGAUUUUCAGUAGUGAGAUCUCUUUCUAAAGAAAAGAAAGGAAUGUGUGUGAAUCACUGAAUGGAUCUUAGUUAGAAGAAACAUUAUUGGGUUAUGCUUACAAGAGCUAAGGGUAUAUGCAUAUCCAUGAAUUAUCUAUAAUUCAAGCUUGAACAAUUGUUGAUUCUUAACAUGUGCUAUUAUAUCACCCACACAUCUGUUUCAGUUGGAGACUUUGUGAAAAGAACUUGACUUGCUUUUAAUAAAGAUGGGUCCAUUUUUACCUUUAAAUAAUUUUGGCUAUAUCAUGUGUUUAUGUAUAUUUUAUUUAAGUUAUACAAAUUUCAUAUAUUUCCUUUAUACCAUUUUAGGAACACAGUGGCAGUUCAUGCUCUACUCUCCCUCCCUUAGAGUGAGUUUUGCAGAUAGAAUUUCUUUAAAUGAUGAAAUCAAGAUGGCCAGUCUUCAAAUACAUCUUUAUUGGUCAUUGGAUCUUGUUACCCAGGAAGGAAUUUGACCUCCAGUGACAACCCUCUAAUAAGAGGAGGGACAGAUGCUGGAAAUGGAAGACAAUGGAACCUGACAAGAGCAUUCUCAAAUGUCCCCAAGAUUGCUGUCAAGUGUACUUUGCACAUGAUAAUACAACAACUUGCAUGAUAAACGCCCUUAUACAGACUUUUCUCCAGAGAAAAUGUUACAUGGGAUGUUCAGGAGCUAUGACUGAGGCGAGGGCUGCCUUAGGAACUGGAAUCAGGACAAGAAGAGCUAUCUGAGUCAGGACGCCUGAAACACAUAUUCCCUAACUUCAGUUCUCUAACCCCGCCCUAAGAGCCUCAUUACCCUGAGAAAGAUGCUGCUCUGAGAUUCAGUGUAGAGAAGGAAAAACAGAUACUGUUUGUCUGAAAGCAGCAACUGACUGGCAAAACCAAUAGAAACAAGUGCCAAUUAUUAAAAAGACCCUGCUGUCUCAGGGAUGAGAAGACACCAUCCUAAUACACUAACUGUCAUAUGUAAUGCUCAGAUCACAGACUUUCUAUUUUGCUGGACUAGUUAUCUACUCAGCAUUGGUGUGACAUUGUAUUCUGAUUACACAGCAUUCAUUGCACUGUUGUGAUGUGUGGCAAACCAGCCCUUCUCAUGCUUCUCACCAAGGGUCAGAAUUUUGGCAUAGCGGAUUAAAUCCCCAGGGACAGCAUCACAUAUGGGCGCCGGUUCAAGUCCCAGCUGCUCCUCUUUCGAUCUAGCACUCUACUAUGGCCUGGGAAAGCAGUAAAAGAUGGCCCAACUCCUUGGGACCCUGAGCUUAUGUGGAAGUCCUGGAAGAAGCUCCUGGCUCCUGGUUUCAGAUCAGCUCAGCUCUGACCCUUGCAGUCAUUUGGGGAGUGAACCAGUGGAAUAAAAGACCUCCCUCUCUUUCUGAUUCUACCUCUCUCUGUAAUGCUAUCUCUCAAAUAAAUAAAAUAAUUCUUAAAAAAAUUGUUUAAGACCUCCACACAUCCUGUGUGGAGGAAUGUUUUCACUAUUUCAAUUCUGGCAGUAUUUCAUGACAUAUAUGUUCAAGUGUAACAAGUUGUAUACUUCAAAUAUUCUCAUUUUCUCAGGUCAUUGUUUUGGUUAUACCUCAAGAGAACUGUAAAUUAAAAAAAAAAAAAAGUCCACUUCAGGAUGGCUUAGGAAACAAUCUAACUGUCCUAUUCUGAGAUACAUCGGAAGUUUUUGAAAACCAUCAAAGAGCACUCCAAUAAGGAAGGUGAUAUUCAUGUGUGUAGUUAAAGCUAUAAUGGUCAAACUAUCUUCCUCUCACAAAGCUUGUAGUUGUACCUUACGAUAAAGAAAGUACUUACUCUGUACUAUAAAGUAAGCUGUAUCUCAUCCAAAAGUUUAUCAAAUCAUUAAGAAACAAAUUAAAAAGAGAAGUAUAAAAAUUGUUCAAGGGGCCGGCAAUGUGGCACAGCAGGUUAAAGCCCUGGCUUGAAGUGUCAGCAUCCCAUAUGGGCGCCAGUUCAAGUCCCAGCUGCUCCACUUCCAAUCCAGCUCUCUGCUAUGGCCUGGGAAAGCAGUGGAACAUGGCCCUUAUAUUUUUCUUUAUUCUGGCACCUUAUAUUUUUCUUUCUUUUUAUUUUUCUUUCAUACUACCUCACACAUUCUUGAUGCUUAGUGGUAUAUAGCAUCAUCUGUCUAUUAUCGCCAUCCGCUUAAUUGUCUUUGAAUCAUCAGUACAUCUCAUUGCAAUUUUUUUCUAAAAUCUCUCAAAUAUGGCUUGUUUCUCUAUCAAAUGUUUAUAAAGCUGUGAACUUUGCCUUCCCAGCCAUUUUUACAAUUUGAAUUCAACAUUUUUAGUAAUAAUUAGUAGAGAUCUACCAAGUGGAAUCUGAGGGAAAUUAAUCUUUUUUUAUGAAGUACCCAUUGUGUAUCUUUUCAUUUUCCUUCCUUUUACUUGUAGUCAUUAUAGGUAUCAAAUAAUGAUUGUUAAGAAAUAAUAAAGGAACGAAAAUCAUCUGCAAAAUGGAAUUUACAAAUGUUCAGAUGAAAGUUUCAAAACAGCUCUUUUAAGGAAAGUCAAUGAAGUAUUAAAAAAGGAUUCAGUUUUAUAACACAGAGAACUAACAGAGAGAUGGACAUAUUUCAAAUAAAUCGAACAGAAAUCCUUCAGCCAAAAAAUGCACUAAACAAAAUUGAAAACAUGCUAGGAGGCAUCAAUAGCAGAAGAGAUCAAAUGCAAGACUCAGUGAGCUUGAAGACAGGUUAUUAAAAAAUAUAUUGAGGACAACAAGGAUCAUGAAGAAUGAAGGGGCCAGCGCUGUGCCAUAGCGGAUUAAGGCCCCAGCAUCCAGUGCCAGCAUCCCAUAUGGGCACCAGUUCAAGUCCUGGUGGCUCCACUUCUGAUCCAGUUCUCUGCUAAGGCCUGGGAAAGCAGUGGAAGAUGGCUCAAGUGGUUGGCCCCCUGUACCCACAUGGGAGACCUGGAAGAAGCUGGCUCCUGGCUCCUGGCUCUGGAUCAGCCCAGCUCCAGUUGUUGAGGCCAUUUGAGGAGUGAACCAGAGAAUAGGAGAUCUCACCCUCUCUCUGUAACUCUGCCUUUCAAAUAAAUAAAUAACUCUUUAAAAAAAAAAGAAUGAAAAAAGCUUAUGGGAACUUUGGAACAAUUAAAGAAAAAAAUAUUUGAGUUGUUGAGGCCAAAAGGGGACUUGAGAAUUCAAAAGGGAUACAUAUCAUGUUAAAGAGAUAAUUUCAGAAAAUUUCCCAAACGUAGAGAAAAUUACAGCUAUCCACUUACUGGAAGAUCAGAGUGAGUCAAAGUCAAUUCAAACAUGUAUUCCCUGAUAUAUAUGAAAUUAAGGUCUUCAAGGUCAAAGAUAAAGAAAUGAUUAUCAAAACUGCAAGAGAAAGGAAACAAAUAACACAUAAAGGUAGCUAAAGUUACCUAGUGCAGGCUUCCCGGCAGAUUAAUUACAGGUUAGAAAGCAGUAGCGUGACACUGUCACAAUACUAAAGAAAAAUAUUCCAGGUAAGAAUACUGUACCUAGCAAGGUUUUUCUUCAGAUAUGAGGGACAGAUAAAAGCAUUAAAAUAAACAAAAAUUGAUAGAAUUCGUCACCACCAAAUCUGACUUACCAAAAAUGUUAGUUAUUCAAACUUAAAGAUAAGCUAAUGAAUAUGAAUAAGAUAUCAGAAGGUAGAAAAUAAACUGUUAAGAAUAAUUGCACAUGGGUGGACACUUUGGCAGAGCAGGUUCAUGUGUGACUUGGGAUAUGCACAUCCUAUAGUGAAGUGCCUAGGAAAGAUUCCUUUGUUGCUUCUUCUGAUCCAGCUUACUGCUAAUGUACCUGGAAAGCAGUAAAUGAUGGCUCAGAUACUGAGUCCCUGUCACCCAUGUGUGAAACCCGGAUGGGUUCCUGGCUCCUGUCUUUGGUCUGGCUCAACCCUGGCUUUUGUAGGCAUUUUGGAAGUUAAUUGGUAUAUUGGCAGAUAGAAAAUCAGAUAGAAAAUUUCUCUCUCUCUCUCUCCCCCUCAAUUUUUCAAAUAAAUAAGAUUUUAAAAUGAAUAGUUUUAUAGACACAUUUAGAAGGCUGCAAUUUUUUGAACAUGUGGCAAAAACCAUUUAUAUCUCAAUAUGAAGAAUAAAAUAAAAUAAUUUUAUAAACAGUAAUAACUGCAUUAAAUGUUAAGAAAUAAGCAAUAUAGGAGGAGUUAAAAUUGGACAUAUAAAAUUCAAAAUGUGAGGAAUGAUGGAAUGAACAUGAAGAAUUCUUUAUUAGUAUUUCUUACCUGUUCCUUUUAUUUUUUUUUCCUUUUCACAGCUUUGUAACCUCUGCUACAUUUUUAUCAUUUCAAAAUACCUUGUUAUAACCUAGAGAAAAUUUUAGUAAGUCUCAUUAUCACCAGAUAGCAAAUAUUUGAAUUAUACUUACAAAAAUUAUAAGGAAAGAAUAAAAGUACAUUACUAGAGAAAUUCACAUAGCCACAAAAAGAGAUCACAAAAGAGGAAGAAAUAAGGAAGGGAAUUACAAUAAAACUGGAAAGCAAGUAUGAAAGUGGCAGUAGUAACACCUUACCUAUUAACAUUUACCUUAAAUGUUGAGGAAUUAAAUCCUCCAGUUAAAAAGCACAGAGUGCCAGAAUAAAAUUUUUAAAAAUGACAAACAUAUAUUCUGUUUACAAGGAACUCAACUCACUUUUAAGGACAUCCAUAAAUGGAAAGUGAAAUUAUGGAAUAAGAUACUGCAUGCAUUGGAAAAACAACCAGAACCAGCUAUAAUUAUAUUAUUAAUUUUGACAAAGAUGUUAAAACAAGAUGUUUUUAGAGUUACAAGGUGAUGGAUAUAUGAGAACUCUGUAUUACUACUUCACAAUUUUUUGUAAAUGUAAAACUUCUGAAAUAAAAUGUUGAAAAAGAAAAAUAUUUUAAAUUGAAAGCAGUAAAAAGAGACAAGGAUAGUCCUUAUAUAAUGAUAAAAGGCUUAUUCCAGAAAGAGGAAAUAAUGAUUGCAAAUAUAUUUUCAGCCAAUACCUGAGCUCACAAAUAACUAAAGCAAAUAUUAAUAAACAUAAAGGGAGAGAUUGACUCCAAUAUAAUAAUAACAGUAAACUUGAAAAACACACUUUCAGACCAGUACAUGUCAUUCAGGCAGAAAAUCAGAAAACAGCUGUGUUAAAUUGUCCUGAGAUCAAAUGGACCUAAAACUAUCUACAUAGUAUUCCAUCUAAGAGCUGCAUAAUACACAUCCUUCUCAACAAUACAUUGGACUUUACUAAGAUAGACUCUAUAGUAUGUCAAAAAACAAGUACAAACAAAAUUUUAAAAAAUAGAAAUCAUAUUGAGAUUUUUUGGUCUGACAAUGCAAUAAAAUGGAAAAUCAACUGAAAGAAAAGCUUCUUAAUAUUAAUAAAUGCAUGGAAAUUAAACAGCUUACACAUGAACAGCCAAUGAAUCAAUGAAGAAGAAAAAAAUUGCUAAAAUAUAAUAAUGGAUAUACAGUACAUCAAAGUCUCAGGAAAACAGCAAAAUGAAUAGAGUUUACAGCAAUCAAUGCCUAAAUAAAAUAGACAGAAAGAUCUCGUGCAAACAACUUUUCACUUCAGUUCAACUAACUGUAAAAUUAAGAAUAGAUGAAACCCUUAAAUACUGGAAGUAAAGAAUUAAUAAAACUCAGAAUAGCAAAAUAUGAUGUAGGAACAAUAAAAUACAGAUAGAAAAAUCAAUGUAACAAAGAGCUGCUUCCUUGAAAUGAUAAAAUUGUCUAACCCUCAAUAAAAAUAAGUAAGAAAAAAAGAAGACAGAAGAUUAAAAUACAUAAAAUAAGUGAUGGAAAGAGAGACAUUACAAAUGAUAGCACAGAUGUACGAGUGAUUUUUACAGAUGAACAAUAUUUCAGCAAAUUUGAUAAACUAGCAAAAAUAGGCAAAUUCUUGUCCAUGUGUAUCUUACCAAGAUUGAAUCAUGAAUAGAGUACCUAAACAGAACAAUAAUGAGUAGCUCUAUCUAAUCAGCAGUACAAAAUCUUCCAUCAAGGAAAAGUCAAGAUUGAAUGGCUUCACUCUCAAAGUACACAAAACAUUAAAAAAAAAAAAAAAAGAAUCAAUACCAAAUCUUAAGUAUUCCAAAAAAUAGAAAGCACAUUUUCCAAAUCUUCAUGUGAAACUAGUGUUACCUUGGCACCAAAAACAAAUAAGGAGACACACACACACACACGUUUUAGCAAAUAUCCUUGAUAACUACAGAUGUAAAUAUUUUCAGCAAAAUGACAGCAAAUUGUACCAAACAACACAUUACAAAUAUCAUUCUUCAUGAUGAAGUGUGAUUUAUCCCAGGGACACAUGGUUGAUUCUACACAUAGAAAUAAAUAUACAAAAUACACAAGAUUACAAGAUGAAAGUAAAAAUAUCUUACAGUCAUCUCAAUAGAUAUUGAAAAGGCACUUGAUAAAAUCCAGCAUCUAUUAAAACUUUGAAAAAAUAGGUGGUGAAUGAACAUACCUCAAUAUAAUGGUUAUAUAUAACAAACCACAGCUAAAAUCAUACUAAAUGGGGAAAAGUUGGAGGCUUUCACUCUAAGAUAUUAAAGGUUUUCUAAAAUGAACAACUGUAUUAUAAACACAGUGUACAAUGGAAGAAUUCAGAUAACAUUUAUUUAACCUACAAAAGAAUCUAUUGAAAUAAUCGAAAUAUUUGAAUAUGACAUCAAAUUUCAAUUUAUGUGAAUGACCAGUUUUCAGCAUUUCAAAAGAUCUGUGAUGUCAAACUUAAGGGUGGCACAUUCAAUUUUUAUUUUUAUCUAAAUGCUUAAAAUACGCAAAAUCUUAACUUGUGGCCUACCACUAUUGGAAAGAAGUUAUAACUUUAAAUUCCAACUCUGAUAUUUUAGACAUUAGCAGUAACCUACCCCAGAAGUCAUAAAAUGUUGGAAAACAUUAUAAAAUACAGUUAGGAAAUCUUCUAUAAUAUAAUAAAAAUUAAUUAAGCUUCAAUUUAAUUUUAAGCUACUCACAAAACAUGAUUUUUUAACUCACAGUGAUUACAAAAGCAAAAUAUAUAAAGUUAAUUUUUAUAAAAUAUGAUUGCUACAAAAAACUACCAAAGCACUUAAUUAAUCUCAUACCUUUUAAGAGCUCAGUAUGGUAUCAACUUGAUUUCUGAUAUUUGAAUGACUCCAUUCUCUAAACUUAAUUACAUACAUAUGGAGCUCAUUACUGGAUGUUCAUUUAGAAUGUAUCCAAUUAUUUCACUCUAGACAUUUUCAUGUUUUGUUUAUGUUGUCAAAAUAUUAACCCUUAAAAUGCACUCAUUUUUUUCUCCAAAGAAACCUUUUUUUUAAGGAAUACAAAUUUCAUAAGUACUGCUUUAGGAAUAUAGUGAUUCUUCCCAUCAUACCCACCCUCCUACCAACACUCCCACCCCUCCACCUCCUCCUUCUCCCAUUCCCAGUCCCUUUUUCCAUUAAAAUUUAUUUCAAUUAGCUUUAUAUAAGGAGGACCAAUUCAUAUACUGUAUUAUGUAAAGAUUUCAACAAUUUGCACACAUAUACAUGCACACACAUACAAACUGUUUGAGACAAGUUUUGCAGUUAACUCUCAUAAUAAAACUCAUUAAGGACAGAAGUCUUGCAUGAGAAGUUAGUGCACACUAACUGCUGUUGUUAAUUUAACAAUUAACACUCUUUGUGUGACAUCAGUGACCAUCUGAGGCUCUAGACAUGAGCUGCCUAGGCUGUGGAAGCCUUUUGAAUUCACAAACUCUGUCAGUAUUUAGACAAUGCCAUAAGCAAAGUGGAAGUUCUCUCCUCCCAUCCUUAUUUGAUGAACACUUCUUUCUAUUGGGGUCUCACUCACAGAGAUCCUUCAUUUAGGACAUUUUUUGCUACAGUGUCUUGGCUUUCCAUGCCUAGAAUGCUCUCAUGGGCUUUUCAGCCAGACCAGGAUGCCUUAAGGACUGAUUCUGAGGUCAGAGAUGCACUGAUUUUUAAUUUGUGUUUGUAUUUCUGAACAUAGGGGAAAGCAUUUGGUAUAGCAGUAAAGUUGAUUCUUAGGACACAUGAAUCCUCUAAGUACCUGAUGUGAGUCUUGUUCCUUCACUUCCAGUUCAGUUUUCUGCUAAAGUGAACCCUGGGAGGCGGUAGGUAAGGGUUCAAGCAGGUGUGUCCCCACUACUCAUGUGGAGACCCUGAUAAUGUUCCUGGCUUCUGGCUUCCACUUGACUAGCCCUGGUCAGUAUAGGCAUUUGGGGGAAUGAACAAGAGAUAUAAUAUCUGUGCUGGCCUUUCUUUCUCUGUGUCUCUGUGUCCCAGCUUCUCUGUCUCUCUCCUCUCGCUCAUCUCUUUCUCUCAAUUCCAAAUAAAAUGGAAAUAAAUAAAAAUUUAACAAUAUAUAUUUCUUGACAUACAAUCAGUCAUGAGUCACAAGGAAGUAAACUUAGGGCUGAGGAACACUUCUUUCAUCAUUACACCUACUCUAAAUCAUUGACUGGGGGCCUUUCUUUAGAAUAGUUUUUUGCAUGAUACUGAAAUGAGGUACAGAGAGUUAAAAUAUAUGUUUUAUGACAUUUAAACAGUUGUUUUCUUAGAAAUUUAGUAGAGAUAAAAGACUAUAGUAAAGAAAUAAGAUUUGAGUGGGCCGGCACCAUGGAUCACUAGGCUAAUCCUCCUCCUGUGGCACCGGCACCCCAGGUUCUAGUACCAGUCAGGGUGCUGGAUUCUGUCCCGGUUGCUCCUCUUCCAGUCCAGCUCUCUGCUGUGGCCUGGGAAGGCAGUGGAUGAUGACCCAAGUGUUUGGGCCCCUGCACCCACAUGGGUGACCAGGAGAAAGCACGUGGCUCCUGGCUUCAGAUGGGCACAGCGCACCGGCCACAAUGCACUGGCCAUAGCGGCCACUUGGGGGGUGAACCAACAGAAAAAGGAAGACCUUUCUCUCUGUCUCUCUCUCUCUCACUGUCUAACUCUGCCUGUCAAAAAAAAAAAAAAAAAAGAUUUGAGCAAAAUUCAUUGAUAUAUUUUAAUGCCCAUAUUUAUAUACUUUCAUUCUGAAACUCAGACAUAUUGCAUGGAACAGACUGCAAUUUCAUCACUCACAGAAACAAACAAAGAAGCAAUAACAUUACAUGACAAUGCCUUUUUUUUUCUGGGAAAGCUAGAUGUUAUCUGACCCACUGGAUAGGGACUCCCAAAUAAUGACCAAACUAUCAAAAGCAGAGAGAAACAACAUUUCUAGCAGUUGUUAUUUAAAUGUGGUUAUAGAAAGAUUCUGUCCCAAAAUUAAAAUAAUCAUUGAGAUUGACAUUUGGCAUAGCAGUUAAAAUGUCUGAAUCCCAUAUUUGAGUCCCUGCAUUUGAGAAAAUAAGUAGCUCCUUUUCUGAUUGCAGAUUCUUCCUAAUAUGCACCUUGAGAAGCAUCAGGUUAUGACUAAAGUAGUUGGCUCCCUGCCAACCACAAUAGAGACCCAAACUAGGUUCCCAGCUCCUGGCUUUGGACUGGUCCAACCCUGAAUAUUGUGAGCAUUUUUGGAGUGAAGAAAAUGAGGGUCUCUGGCUUUCUAUCUGACUUUCGAAUAAUUACUUAUUACUUAAUCUUUCUACCAAUUUUACCUGAUGACUGAGUGUAAAAUAUUAUUUUACAUAUUCUGUGUAACUAACUGAUUAACUCAAUAAAUGUUUGUUUGCAUAUUGUCAUAUUAAAGAAAAAUUUAUAAGUUUCAUGCAUUUUAUAUUAUGGUAGAAAAGAUAUGCAAAAAUUAUAAAAAUUCUCAAGUAGUAUUGCAUGUUAUGUAAAAAUGGGAUUCUAAAAACUUUAGUGAAUAAAAGGCUGGAAGUUAGCACUUUAUAAAUUAUAACUCUAUAAUGUAAUAGUUUGAUCAACAUAUGAAAGAAAAAUGAUGUAGCUGUAAAAAGAAAGAAUAAUUACCAAAGAUCUAUUUUUUAAGAUUUAUUUAUUUUUCUUGAAAGUCACAGUUAUACACAGAGAGAUGCAGAGUGAGAGAGAGAAAGAGAGAGUGAGAGAGAGAGAGAGGGAUAGGGAGAGAGAGGGAGGGCUUCCAUCCACUGGUUCUCUCCUCAGUUGGCCGCAAUAGCCGGAUCUGUGCUGAUCCAAAAUCAGGAGCCAGGAGUCUCCUCCAGGUCUCCCACAUGGGUGCAGAGGCCCAAGGCCUUGGGCCAUCUUCUAGUGCUUUCCCGGGCCAUAGCAGAGAGCUGGAUUGGAAGUGGAGCAGCCAGGUCUCAAACCAGUGCCCAUAUGGGAAUGCCAGCACUGCAGGUGGUGGCUAUACCCGCUAUGACACAGUGCCAGCUGCAGAUCUAUUGCUUUAGAGGAAUUUUCUCCUUUCAAGAAAAUACAAGGGAUGACACUAUGGCAUAACAGGUAAAGCAUCCUCCUGCACUGCCGGCAUCCCAUAUGGGUGCCACUUCAAGACCUGGCUGCUUUACUUCUCAUCUAGCUCUCUGCUCAAGUCCUUGGGCCUCUGAAGCUGCAUGGAAGACCCAGAAGAAGCUCCUAGCUCCUGGAUUUAGAUUGGCCAAGCUCUGGCCUUUGAGGCCAUUGGGGGGAAUGAACCAGCUGUUUCAAGACCUCUCUCUAUCUCUUUCUCAUCCUCUCUCUCUCUCUCUCUCUUGCUUAUUUUCUCUCUGCCUCUGCCUCUCUAUAACUCUGAUUUUCAAGUAAAUAAGUUAAUCUUUUAAGCAAAAAAAAAAAAAAAAAAGAAACUAUGAAGAUUCUCUGCAUUGUGAAAUGGCUGCUUAGUUUGCCACUUGCAAUGUUGGCAUACUGUAUUAGAGUGCUGGGUUAAGUUCCUGCUUCUCUGCUUCACAUCCAUCUUCCUGCUGCUGUGUCUGGGAAGGCAAUGGGGCAUGCUAAAGUGCUUAAGCCCCUGCCACCUGUGGGGGAUUCUUAGAUGGAAUUUCUGCCUCUUGGCUUUGGCUUGGCUCAGCCUUGGUUAUUGGCCAUUUGGGGACUGAAUCAGCAGAUGGAAGAUUUCUGUCUCUGUCUCUCUUUCUCUGUCACUCUAACUUUCAAAUAAAUAAAUAAAUCUUUAAAAAAUAAUGCUUAUAUUCCAAGAUAAUAGUGUAUUUGAGAGACAGCUAAGAUGAAACAUGAAGAGACUGGAAGUAGCCAUGUAAUCUAGGCAAAGAGUUCAAAUAUGUUGUUUUCUCAGAUUUUUGACCAUUGAUACACAUUUACUUAUUUAUUACUUUUUAUUUAUAUAAUGAACAUUUUCAUGUGUUUCAUAUAUAAAGAUUUAGGAGAACAAAAUUUUUCAUAUAUACAGAUUUAAGAACAUAAUGAUAAUGAUUCCCAACCUCCCAUCCAUACCCCCAGCUUCCUUCCUCUUUCUUUCCUUUUUCUUCUAAUAUUUACCAUGACACACUUUCAGUUUAUUUUAUAAUCACAAGCUUAACAUUCCACAACUAAAUUGAGUUCUUUAUGGAUUCCAGAUAGUAAUCUUUUAUUAGUCACAUAGCUAGCAUAUAUUUUUGCCCAUUCUGUCAGUCGCCUCCUCACUUUGUUGAGUAUUUCCUUUGCAGUACAGAAGUUUAUUACUUUGAUGUAAUUCCACUUGUCUAUUUUUGCUUUCCUUUCCUGUGCUUUAAGAUGUUUUCCCAAAAAUCUUUUCCUAUGACAAAAUCUUGCAGAGUUUCCCCAAUGUUCUCCUUUAGUAAUUUGAUGGUAUUAAGUCAUAAAUUUAGGGUGCUGAUAUUUGGACUUGAUUUCUGUAUAAGGUGCAAGGUAGGGGUCUUGUUUCAUACUUCCACUUAUAUAUGUCCAGUUUUCCCAACACCAUUUGUUGAAAAGACUGUGUUUGCUCCAGAGAUUUAUUUUAGUUCAUUUGUUAACUAUCAUUGCUAAUGAUACACAUAAAUGAUAUAAUUAAUUGAUUAACGCAAUAAUUGAUAAGUUCUUAAAAAUUGUGACAAGAGAAAAUGAAAAUACACUGUGUAUUUUUACUUGUGAAAUAAAUUUUCACAUUAAAGCAGUGAUUUCCACAUUGCAAAAAACAAAAGGAUAAAUCUAGGAAGAUGAUUUCACUGGAAUAAUGAGAUUCACAGGAAAUUUUAAAAAUUCUUUAAAAGGAAUUAUAAAAUAUGACAUUAGGUAAAGUCAGUCAUUCAGUUGAGAUAUUUUUCAUGAAAUAUAUGCUUACUAUUUUAUGGUUAUUUCAUAAGCAGGCUGUUUUAUCUUUUAUUGAAACUUCAUUUUGCCCUAGGGAAUGCAGCUGCCACAAAAUGUGUUAUCAUUACACGUAUGUCAAGAAAGAUAGUAUACACUUCACUAAAAUGCACUCAUUCAGCACAUUCAUUUGGCAACCUCCAGCUGCUACACAUCUAGAACAACCUUGAAAUUAUCUGCUGUACUGAGAAUAGACAGCAAGAAUUACUUCAGUUCAAAUAUAAAAAUAAUUGCAUAAUAUAACAGCUUAGUCCUUUAAAUUUACAUAAAACCAAACCAAUUACAGAUAUUUUUUUCCUGAAAAAAAAUGAAUACACUGCAUUAAAUCAGAACAAAGUAGAGAAAUCAUGGUAAUUUAAAAGUGUAAUUGGAUUAUAAACCAAUAAAAUUGCUUGAUUUAGUAAUACUUAAGGCAUGGUUUUAACAAUUAUAAUAAUUUCAUUUUAACUUAUUUUGGUUACUUUUACCAAAUACUUAUUUAUGAGUGAACUCCAUAAAACUUUUCUAUUUAUCAAUAUAUAUUAAAAUAAUUCCAGAAAUCAUUAUCUGAGCAUAGAAUAUUUAGGUCUAACAUGGCACCAGUAAAAUGUAUCUGUUUAUUUUAAAGAUAUUCUUGAUGAUCUUUCUUGCAUUUUACAAUAAACAAAUUGAGAAGUUUGCAUAGAUAUUGACUUUUUUUAAGAUAUAUUUAUUUGUUUGAACGUCAGAAUUACAGAGAGGGAGGAGAGUCAGAGAGAGAGUGAGAGAGAGAGAGAGAGGUCUUCCAUCUGCUGGUUCACUCCCCAAUCGGCCACAACGGCCAGAGCUGUGCCGAUCCGAAGCCAGGGGCCAGGAGCUUCCUUCAGGUCUCCUAUGCCAGUGCAGGGGCCCAAGUACUUGGCCAUCUUCUAUUGCUUUCCCAGGCCAUAGCAGAGAGAUGGAUGGGAAGUGGAGCAGCCAAGACUGGAGCUGGCGCCCACAUGGAAUGCUGGCACUGCAAGUGGUGGCCUUACCCACUACACCACAGUGCCGGCCCCUUCACUUUUUUUCUUUUUUUUUAGAUUUAUUUAUUUAUUUGCAAAGCAGAGUUACAGAGAGGCAGAGGCAGAAAGAGAAAGAGAGAGAAGGGGAGAGGAAAAAGAGAGAGAUCAUCCAUCCACUCAUUCACUCCCUAAACGGCUGCAAUGGCCAAAGCUGGGCCAAUCCCAACCCAGGUGCCAGGAACAUCUUCCAGGUAUCCCACAUGGGUUCAGAGGCCCAGGGACUUGAGCCAUUGUCUACUGCUUUCCCAGGACAUCGCAAAGAGCUGGAUUGGAAGUGGAGUAGCUGAGACUCAAACCAGUGACCACGUGGACACCAGCAAUGCAGGAAGUGGCUUUAUCUGCUAAGCCACAGUUCCAGCCCCCUAUACAUCCACUUUCUCAUGGAGUGUCUUUUUGCAUGGUUAUGUGUGUGUUUAUUUUAAAUUAGAGUUUUGCAAUAUUUAUAUAUGAAUAUAUAGGUAUGCAUUUAUAUUGUUUUUGUUUUAAAAUAUUUUAAACCAUACACUUAUUUGAAAUGGCAUUUUUCUGAAAAGGAAAUAUUCAGUAUUUUCACGUAGGUAAUUCCAUUCUACACAUAAUCAUAUAACCUAAAAUAUACAGCAAUAUUUUCACUGUUAGGGUUUUACUUCCAUAAAUAGUAGUAGAAACCAAACACACACUCAGGAACACAGAGAUAAGACAGAAAAAAAAAGGAUAAAUACUUUGUAGAUUCUCAAAAGGAUAACUUCUUGGAAACUAAAUAAAAUAAUUUGGAUGCUUGGAUGUGUUCUAUACUAAAUCAUUCCCACACAAUAACAUUUAUUUGCCAGUAAGCCUUAGGUGUUCGGUUUGGGACCCGUGUGAGUCACAUUGUGAAAUCAGUCUUUAUGUUCAGAUUAAGUGAAUCAAUUAUGUAAUCUGUGUGAACAACUGAGGUUAUAUAUACCAAUAGGAAUUACAUAUUUUACUUAUUGCUGCUAUGUAUUUAAAUAUAUUAGAUAUUGACCCUUGCUGUGUAUUAAUAGUUAUUGAUAGUACCUCUAAAAAUGACAAUUUGGUUUAGGAGAGAAAUAAAAAAUUUCCAUGUUUCUGGGUCAAUUCCAGAAGGCAUGUUCUGUAUGUUCUCUGGCAAUUGUGCUGCCUGGCCCACGUGAUGAAAAUCUGUACGAGCUGGUUAAUCCUUAAAUGCCCUUUUGGUAACAAAUACUGACAAGGCAGAGGCAAAUCUGCAUUAUAUCUGAAAAUAACACAGAAAUAAAUUGGCAGAACCUCUUUUAUGUAGAACAAAAUGAUUCUUUGUAGGAAUACUUGUGCAGAGUCUCCCAGGAUGUAGAUGUGUGUAAAAUGUCAUAAUCAGCAUCAUAGUCUCCAAGGCCAUUGCUAUGUGACUGCAAGUGAAAACGGAGAAGCUUCACUUGUCAAAAAGAUGUGGGAUACGUGUGUAUUCUAAAGUAAAAUGAAGACAUUUUGAAUAUGUAAAUAACAUUAAUUUGGUGUGUAUAUGAUCUAAAAUAUGUGCCUUUUCAGUAAACAGGAAAUAUUUAUCCAGCAACAUACGUUCUUGUUCAUGGAAUUCUUCCUUACCAUUCAUCUCUUAAUGCAGAACUGUAUCAACUGCGAUUCUUUAUUUCUGCUUAACAGUGAAAGAAUAAUCUUGGGAUGUGUCAAAUCCUAUCAUUUCACAGAUGUGGUACUGAGGCCUUUCUUUCUGGUAAUGACUGAGGAGAUUUUAGCAAACCUUUCAAGAAGGCUUCUUUUUUGCAUUACACCAACAAUUAUUCAAUCAUGCCCUUAAUUCUACCUUUGUUUACUUACACCAACUCUCCUCCAAAUAACACAUUUCAUGUAUUCCAUAUACACUGUUUUCAGCCUGUAAUUAUACUUCACACACCCUCCCUCUAUCCUUCUUACUAUCUUUCUUAUUUUUUCUUUUUCUUUUUUAUAAUAACAUAAAAUUUACUUUGUAGUCACAGGCUUAAUUCUCAUCUAAAUAAAGAAUUCAACUAGAAAGUUGAAGGACUACUGUUCUGCAGGAUUAUAGACAAUGGCAAUGAACAAUAAUGAGAUUUAAUGACAUCAAAUUUCAUGCAUAUACUACAUUACCUUAGUAUCUUGUUUAUUAGCUACAAAUCAAAGAAAAUAUAUGAUAUUGUCUUUUUGGGACUGGUUUAAUAGUGCCUAUUUGUUAGGCUAUGGAAAAGGAUAAAUAAAUAUUGACUAGCAGGUUGCAGCGAUACUGGAAUGCAAGAGAUGGAGCCCAGGCAGCAGACCAAUACGUAAAGUGCUCAAAUGCCGAAUUCACAAGAAGUUGUUGUGGGGAACACAUCCUGCCUGAUGAAACUAGACACAGUAAGAUAAUUUAAGGGUGAGUGGAAUGUUUGUUGCUUGGGAAAGCCUCUCGCCUAGAACAUUCCAAAUUGCCAAGACAAUGUUUGCAGACUUCAACAAGGAGCCUUUAAGUUCCCCAUCCAUUUCAUCAGGGUCCGUGUGGCUCUAUGCGCCUUGUUCACAAGCACCUUAAACAGAGACUCUGCCUGCUGCUCAGACAGAAUGAAGCUGGGCUUCAAACUCACUUCGCUCUGUCUGGGCAGGCUGUACUCACCCCCCUUUACCUCUAUUCUGUCCACCCUAAAAAUAAAAGCUUUCUACUUUCACAAUUGUCUCCUCACCUUCUUGGAACCCUAAAAAUCCUAAA